UGGCAAUCGAGAUAGUUACGGUAUUAA
rnacentral:piRNA from 1 species